GCUGCUGUAGCUCAAACGGCAGAGCGCGUCCUUGGUAAGGACGAGGUAGCCGGUUCAAUCCCGGCCAGCAGCUCCA
rnacentral:tRNA from 1 species